CGCGUCAGUCUUGGCUCUUUAAGCUUUUUCCAUAAAAAAAAAUAUCUCCUGAAUUAACUGUAAUUUUGUAGUAUAUUUUUACGACUGGAACUCAAAGGCGUUCGGUCUGAAAUUCAAGUUACAGAAAUCACAGAUUUUCAAAUUUUUUUGUUGAACACGGUUUUGCAUGAUUUCAGCGUUUCAAGAAUUAAACGGCGACGAAAAUGAUGCCCCGUAAGCAAAAUUACAGUCGAUUUUGUUGGGAGUUGAUAUAAUUAUUAAUAAAUAUAUCUCGGAAGUUGGGGAGAUUUCGGGCGCCGUUUUCCUUCUUAAAUUAUGACUAUUGGAGCAACACUGUCCCAAGGCCAGCUCGGCUGUUUUUAUUUGCGAGGGUAUCAAGAUAAUCAAGCUCUUCAAGUUUACAAGGUGAAGCACCAUGAGACCAACAAAAAGAUAUUUCUUUCAUCUCCAGCUUCAUGUUCCAUAUAUCCUAUGAGAAAAAUAACAUUAAGAGGAGACACAUGUUUGAGAAAGAGCUUUCAAGGAAAGCCAAAGCAUUUUUCACCUUCUGGAGCUUUCAUUUGCAGUCUUUGCAUAACUCCCAAGCAUUUAAAAUCUGGGAGACAAUUUUCAGGGAAACUUAAAUGUUUUCUUUCCUCUGAAUCAAGCAAUGGCUACUGGGAAAAACCAAGAAACUUGGCAAAGCUCGGUAUUUCUCUCAAUAGGAAGUGGCAAGACUAUGAUCUCAGGUUUAAGGCAUUUGCAGAUACUGAACCUGAAUUCGGAACAGAUGGACCAGAUUCAGUUCCCUCAUUCAAAGCGCUACCAGACUCUGUUGGAGUGCAGAAGAUGGUUUAUCACAAAAGUCUUUUGUGGAAGGAGUUUCCUAAGCGCUGGGUGAUUGUACUGCUUUGUUUCUUUGCCUUUCUCCUCUGCAAUAUGGACCGUGUAAAUAUGAGCAUUGCCAUCCUCCCUAUGUCUUCAGAGUACAAAUGGAGUCCUGCAACAGUUGGUUUGGUGCAGUCUUCAUUCUUUUGGGGAUACCUGCUUACUCAGAUUGCUGGAGGCAUUUUGGCAGACAAAAUUGGCGGCAAGGCUGUUUUGGGAUUUGGAGUAAUAUGGUGGUCAAUUGCAACUAUUCUGACACCUAUAGCUGCAAAAGUUGGAUUGCCAAUGUUACUUUUUGUCCGUGCGUUAAUGGGGAUUGGUGAGGGUGUUGCUAUGCCUUCUAUGAAUAAUAUGCUUUCAAAGUGGGUCCCUGUAAAAGAAAGAAGCAGAUCAUUAGCACUAGUAUAUAGUGGGAUGUACCUUGGUUCGGUAAAAGGCUUGGCCUUCUCCCCACUGUUGAUCCAAAAGUUUGGUUGGGCAUCAGUCUUCUAUUCAUUUGGUUCUGUAGGAGCCAUAUGGUUUGCCUUAUGGCAGCGUAAUGCGCACAGCUCACCACUUGAAGAUCCAGAACUCUCAGCAGAAGAGAAGGAGCUGAUUGUAGGGGAGGGUCAUCCCAAAGAGCCUGUUAAAUCUAUUCCAUGGAAGUUACUGCUUUCAAAGGCACCAGUCUGGGCGUUGAUAAUAUCGCACUUUUGCCAUAAUUGGGGGACAUUCAUACUUCUCACAUGGAUGCCAACAUACUACAAUCAGGUCUUAAAAUUCAACCUUACAGAAUCUGGGUUGUGGUGUGUUUUACCAUGGUUUACCAUGGCUGUAUUUGCAAAUUUGGGAGGAUGGAUAGCUGACACACUUGUUAGUAGAGGGAUAUCAAUCACAACUGUUCGCAAGGUUAUGCAGUCAAUUGGGUUUCUUGGCCCAGCUUUUUUCUUGACACAGUUGAGCCAUGUCAAGUCACCAGCAAUGGCAAUCUUGUGUAUGACAUGCAGUCAAGGAUGUGAUUCUUUUUCUCAGUCUGGCCUGUACUCUAAUCAUCAGGACAUUGGGCCACGCUAUGCAGGUGUAUUGCUUGGUCUGUCAAACACAGCAGGAGUACUUGCUGGUGUUCUUGGAACAGCAGCAACUGGCUACAUUCUACAACAUGGUUCUUGGGAUGAUGUAUUCAAAGUUGCAGUUGCUCUGUACCUACUUGGAACUUUAGUAUGGAACAUUUUUGCAACAGGAGAGCGUGUCUUUGAUUAAAUACCAGUUCACAGCAGGUUCUCGACCCUCUAUCAUUUGAUAGAAAAGAUUAGUUAUCAGGGAUGCACAAUCCAGAAAGUGGCUAAAUGAUCUUUACCCAAGUUUGUCCUGCAAAACUACUGAAGGCUUAAACUAUUACCAUGUCGAAUAUGAUAUUCUAGCCUCUUUCCAUCAUUUCUCAAAAGGUUACUCUUGCAUUCAACAAUUCUCUUAGCCGGGUUACCUAUUUUUACCACCAGAAAGUGCUUAGAAUCGAUGUACAACAAACCUCUAGUGAAAUCACAAAUUUGUAAUAUAUUAUAUUGUUAAAUAGGAAGGCUACAUAAAGUGUAUAUAACGAUCUAUAAAAAUGGCGGUUUGUCUAACUUUGUAAAUUAAAACUUUGCAGUCUGUACCUGCAUAAUCAAAAUCUAAGAUGAAAACUUAAAAACUUCUUAUUACCGAAAUUCAUUAUGUCGCAAUCUUCAAACCAUGGCCAAGUUAUGGUAAAGUUUAUAGAAGGCAUUUAUGCUUAGAAAGCUUUCAAUUUAUUGAUGCAGUCAAGGACAUGGGAUCCUACAAUUGAUAGUUUGUCCUUGCUAGCCAUGUUUCAAGGUCCCCAUCCUUAUUUUCUCGGUGAAUAUAUAAAACCAUUUUAAUAAACAACAUGGGGCUGUGGGUUUCCAUUGCAGGUUCUCGUAACUUCUAGGAUACUUGGAUGCUUAUCCAUGAUAUAUUUUAUAAUAAGAAAUUAAUGAGGAGUUACGAAACAAAGUAGGGCCAGUUUUAGGAAAGAAUUUAUUAAUAUUUAAUUGCUAUCUUUGAGAGGGAAAAUGCGGCCUGCUAGUGCUAUAUAUUGAGUAGCUUGUUGGCUUUUCAUACAUCUGCAAAUUUAUUUGUAUUCAUUUGUGUCACAGUUUUAGUCUUGUGUCCAACUAAAGCAAAUUUAUUUGUAUUCAUUUGUGUCACAGUUUUAGUCUUGUGUCCAACUAAAGAAUUUGAGGGUGAAAACCCUUGCAUUCUAGAGAUUAAAGGAUGAAACUCUUUUGAUUCCCUAGAUAUUGGGGAUAGAAAUCUUUUGAUUUUCUGGGGGCAAAUUUCACAUAGAAGGUUGUAUAUGUGCUUUAAAAUUUGAUUGGCUUUUAGCAUAUAUCGUGGUAUUCAUAGCAAGAAUUUUGUUUCAAAAGAUAAACCAUAUUGUCAAAACAUAUAUUUUGUAAUCACAUAAGUGGUUUUCUUAUUGUGGAGGAAGCAUUAUCGACAUUUGUGUAUUAUUCUUUGAAUCUUCAGCAUAGUUAUAUUAUUUUGACAAUCCAUUAGUAUCUUUUUUCACAUUGUUGUUAUUGGUGAAUAACAAUAUUUACUUAUUGUAUGCUCUCACCUUGCCCUCAUGAGAUCUUUGUGAUAAAAAAGGUAAACAUUUUUUUAAAAUUUGUUGAGAAAUUAUGGUGGUAUCAAAGCUAGAACAUCUGUUAGCUUGUUGAAUGACAUGAAAUGAAAGACUUGUGAUGGAAGAGGAGAGAUAAUGGUUUCUUCUUGACAACUGAAUAGGCCUCUAGAUGAGGUAAGACAAAAUGGCAUAAAUGCUAUUAGUAGGUCAAGAGUGAAUGAAAAAAUUGUUGACAAGAAUGUUCCAAAUCCAAUUGAAUACAUCCUAUUGCUAUCCCUUUUUUAGAAUAAACUUUACACUAAACCACCAUAAAGAGGGGAAAGUUCAUUUGCAAAUAGUUGACUCGUGGGUAGUUCCCUUUUCAAAUCAUCUAGACUUGCACUCAUACAAGGAGAAGAAGAAAAGAGUGGAGCUCAAGCUUGAUAGAGUGGAGAAUGUUAGGGGAAGAUUGAAGUUUUAAGGUAACCAUGCCCUUUCACAAGUAUAUGGAGCUAUUGAGAAGAAAACAUAGAAGGCGGCAAGGGCAUAACCAUAAUAAAAAUAAGUGUACAAACUAAUUGCACCAAUUUUUUAAUGGUACUAACAAGAUAUAUGUUUAAGAUUUAUUUGAUAAACUUGAGCUUCACACUUAGCCCCCCAUGAUGGAAGAAGAUGCAAAUCUAAUUUGCCACAAUAGAUUUUGAGGGCAUUGUGCCUAUGAUUGACAAUACCUUGAUUUCAACACGCAAGGGCAUGCCCUUGUGCAUUUUUUUGACAAUUUCAAUGGGUUUGAGAAAAAAAGAUGAAAAUGAAUGUUUUAGAGAACUUUAUUACAACCAACCAACAACUUCUAUGGAUGUAUAUGUAGUAGAAUUCAAAAGUUGUAAUUAUGGUAUUUGAUAUAUUAAAAAAUGGGAUUGAAUCACUUUCGGGUAUGUAGUGUCGUAUAUUGCAUCCGCAUACAAUUUCGUCCUCACAUAGAUCUCACUUUGGUGCUUUGACGUUUGAUGCCCAGUGUUUGUCCCGAUUUUGCUCACAACACCUAUCAAUCUCACAUUUUCAUCACCUUCACCAUCUCCCCCUCAUGUUGGAGUCCUAAUUCUUAGGACCAAGGUGUUGGGUGCUCUGGUCCUAGCUUAGGACUAGGGCGUAGCACCCUGAGCCUCCUAAUCAGGACCCAUUUUGGGUCCCUGCAAUGAUCAUCUCAAAUGAGCGAGAAAUUUGACCCCAUGUCGGCUUAUUUGGAAAUUUAAUUAUUUUUUGGGUAUUAAAGUAUAAAAGGAGGUCUACUCCUUUCAUUUGAAAACCUAAUGAAUCCUCUAAGUCAUCUGAAUUAUACUUUAGCAAAUUCAAGUGAGCAAGCAAUCGGUCUUUCAUAAGGCAUUGGAGUAGAAGUAAAGUCAAGUUAUGCAUUCAAGAUGGUAGCCAUGAUCAAUCUUCUUUCAAGGAAUUCUACAAGACAACUCUAAAACCCUUGCAUGAGGAUCAAACACAACUUCAUUGAGGUAUAUUUCAAUUAUCAACACUUUUGUUUCAGAUUUGGUCUUUCCCUCAAAAGGAAAGCACUUUGUAGCAAUUUUCAUUUAAAUCAUAUUUCAAUUUCAAGGUUAAUCCCUAAAGCAGGGUUUGACCUUAGGAAAACCCUAUUGCAAGGUGUGUGCCUUUGGUCUCCUUGUGUUGUGCAACGUAGCGCUCAAGUUUGUGACAUGGCUUAAUCGCCUCCUAUGGAUUCUCUAUAAGUCUAGUGGUUGUAUUGGGCAUUAACAGGUCGAUAUUUUGGUGCAAUGACAAUUGUACUUCUAAUAAGUGGUAUCAGAGCUUGGGUCACAGAUGCAAACCCCCUACUUGUGUUUGGGGGGAUUAUUGCAAGGUGUGUGCCCUUGGUCUCCUUGUGCUAUGCAACACAAUGCUUAGGUUUGUGACAUGGCUUAAGCGCCUCCUGUGGAUUCUAUAAGUCUAGUGGUUGUAUCAGACAUUAGUAGGUUGAUUUUUUGGUGCAACAACAAUCAUACUUCUAACAAACUCCUAUCCCUAACAUUUAUCCCUCUUUCUGUGUGUAGGAAACAAGUGCAAGAGUUGUACUCGUAAUUUUUUGGCAGAGUCAACAAUGAUUAACAGGUUCAACUUUUGACAGAGGAAAAAUUGGAGGACCGGGGCAAAUUUGUACUACAUGGUAUUAAAAAAUAAGGCCGAACUUCUGGGAAUAGGUUCUAAACAUAUUCUUUUGCUCGGAUCUUAGUUUGUGGUUCCAUGGGAUAUCUACAACAGUCUGUUUUCAAUAGUUGACUUCAAUUAUUCAUGGUUUUACCCUAAUUUCACAAUUACAUUCCAAAUUCAACUAAGAAAGAGGAUAACUAUUCCAACCAG